rnacentral:rRNA from 1 species
AUGAUCCGGCGAGCGAGCAGCCGCCUCCUCCCGGCCGUCCCUCACCACACGCCCCCGCCCCGCCGCGCCCUCGCGGCCAGCGCGGCGCUGCAGUGGCUCGACGACGAGCUCACCUCGCUCGUCCUCCCCGAACCCAGGCCCGUGCCCGGGGUCGACGCGCACGCGUGCGCCAGGCUGCUGCAGGGCUGCUUGGCGCGCGGCGACGCCCGCGGAGGCCGCGCCGUGCACGGCCACGUCGUGCGUAGCGGCGUCCUCGACCUCGACAUCUUCUGCGCCAACGUCCUCAUCAACCUGUACGCCAAGCUCGGGCCCUUGGCCGGCGCGCGCAGGGUGUUCGACGCCUUGCCGGAGCGGAACACGGUGUCCUUCGUCACGCUUCUCCAGGCCCACGCGCUGCGCGGGGAGUCCGAGGCCGCGGCGGCGCUGUUCCGGAGGCUGCGGCGGGAGGGGCACGAGGUGAACCAGUUCAUGCUCACCUCCGUGCUCAAGCUGGUCGUCGCCAUGGACGACGCUCUGGGGCUCUCCUGGGCCGUGCACGCCUACGCGUGCAGGCUGGGCCACGACCGGAACGCCUUUGUCGGAUCCGCGCUGGUCGACGCCUACUCCAUGUGCGGGGCUGUCGGCGACGCAAGGCGCCUGUUUGAUGGCAUCGUGGGUAAGGACGCCGUUCGCUGGACAUAA